UUUGCCACUGAGGUUCCGGGUUGUUUGUUACGUGGCAUUACUGAGGCAGUCCGUGACAGAUGUAGAUGUGUGUGCAGCCAGUUGGCUGUAGAUGCUGGAGCUAAGGGCUCUGCUGGAGUCUGCACAAAGCAGGAGAAGAAUAGUUAAUUCUGAGCCUAGAGGUCAGGGCAUGAGUCAUAGAAGAGUAUGAGUGAAUCUCCAAGAAGUAAGACAGUGUCAUAGGCAGAUAAAGCAGGCAUAGGCACGAGGUGGACAAUUAUAAGGUGUGUUUGGGGAAGGGCAAGUCAGCCACCCAGUGUGGCCAGUACAUGUUGGGCAAUGUGGGAAGUGAGCCUGGACUGCUCCAUCAAGGAACCCAAUGGUGGCAAAUCCUGAGUGCCACGGUCUCUAAGUGGGCAACAGGGAGCCAUGGAAGGUUGACAAAUUGUGAGGGAGUACAGUGGAUUGAAUGUUUGUGUCCCCUCGAAAUUCACAUGUUGAGGGACUUCCAUGAUGGUCCAGUGGGUUAAUCUGCCUUACAAUGCAGGGGAUGCCAGUUCGAUCCCUGGUUGGGGAACUAAGAUCCCACAUGCCGUAGGGCAACUAAGCCCUGUCUGCAACUACUGAGACCACGCAUCACAACUGGAGAGUUCGUGCAAUCUCAGUGAAAGACCCUGCAGGACACAGUGAAGAUACUGUGUACUGCAACUGAGACCUGAUGCAGCGCCCCCUAAAAGUCAUACGUGGAAAUCCUCACCCCACAAUGUGAUCGUAUCAGGAGGUGGAGCCUUGGGAGGUGAUUAGGUCAGGCGGGGUGAGCCCUCACGAAUGCGAUUGGUGCCUUUUAAAAGAGACCCCAGAGAAUUCUCUCGCUCUCUUUCUGCCGUGUGGGGACAUGACAGGAAGCUGGCCAUCUGUAGCCCUGAAGAAAGCUGUCACUGGAACCCAGUCUCGCCAGCACCCUGAUCUUCCACCCUCCAGAACCCUGAGACAUAGUCUAUUUCUGUUGUUUUGAAGGCACGCCGUCUAUGAUACUUUGUUACAGCAGCUCAAACUCAGACAGGGAGCUGGACACCUGUUCUGCCCCUCUAUUGCCAGGUCCUCUGUAUUUGGUCCAUCCUUUGUGUCCCCCACCUCCCUGCCCUGAUCCUGACCUUCUCAGUGGGGCUCUUGCUCAUUCUCUACAUGGAACCCGGGACCGACCCCCAACAGUCCCUCCCUAGAGAAAGGAUAAUCAGAACUGCAUCGCUCCAGAGCCUUUCCCAGCAUUAAAGUCAAGGGACUCGGUUCUGAGGCUCCUCUAGGACAGGCCUUUGUAGCUGGGGAGGCCAUGACCUCUGGAGUCUGAGACUACCUGUGGGCCAAACUGCGUCACCAUGGACUGAGGGCAUGAUGCUGAGGAGCCCCGUCCCCUCCCAGAGCUUCCCUAGCCCUCGCUGCCUUGGAUCCUCACUGCACCUUGGGAUGCUGGUAUCCCUGAGCCAUAGAGGCUCAGAGAAGUGUAGUGACCUUCCCAGGGUCGCAGAGCAAGAUGGGGGCCAGGCAGCAUGGGACCCAGGCUUUCUGUCCAAGUGCCAUGUCCUUCUGGGACUCCUUCCUGAAAUUUUGUGAGGUAGGAUGGUACCUUCUCUCCCUACUGAAUACAUACUGUGCUUCUCCCAGAAGGAGGAGGGCCUGUUUUCCCUCCCCUCGACUGGCCCUGUGACUUUCUUUGGAAAGAGAACACAGCAGAAGUAACUCUCCAGUUCCAGCUCUAGCCUUCAAUGGCCUAGGCCUUAUGCUUUCUCUCUCUUUUUAAAAAAUUUUUUUAAAGAAUAUUUUGUUAUGGACCAUUUUUUAAAAGUCUUUAUUGAAUUUUUAAACUAUAUUGCUUCUGUUUUAUGUUUUGGUGUUUUGGCUGUGAAGCAUGUGGGAUCUUAGCUUCCCUACCAGGGAUCGAACCUGCACUCGCUGCAUUGGAAGGUGAAGUUCUAACCGCUGAACAGCCAGGGAAGCCCCUCUCUCUGUGUUUUGGAGUCCAGCGGCCUUGCAUGGCAACCUGAGCAGACAAGAGUGUCAGGAGCCAUGUGGGAAGAGAGGCCACGUGGAGCGGAGCUGAGGUGCCCCAGCACAGGCCUGAGAGGGAGGCCUCGUGGCUGAGCUCCCGGCUGAAAUCACCACGCCGAUGCCACAGGAAGCAGGAGAUACACCCAACCAACCUACGGACAGUUAGAACUCGUAAAUCAGUUAUUUCAAGCCACUAAGCUCUGGGCUGGUUUGUUACACGGCAGAGAUAACUGAAACAGGUGGCCUUGUGGAUGCUUGGGUUCCAUAAGUCCCUGGGACCUCUAACCCCCUCCAGAGCCCUGAGCCCUGGUUGCCAUGGUUCCCAGGCAGAUGGCGAGGGCUCCUCCUGUUUUCCUCAUUUUAAUGAAGGUGAGGGGAGUUGUAUGGUUCCCCCACAUCCCACUUCAAGGCAUGCCUAUCACAAGCUAACAGAGUUCCUAUGAUAAGAAUGAUAAGCUAAGAACUUGAACUCUGCAGUCAGACUCCUGGAUUUAAGUCCAAUUUCUAGCUGUGUGACCUUGGGCAAUUUACUUAUCCUCUCUGUGCCUUGGUUUUUUCAUCUUCAUUUUAUAGUGAGGUUAAUACUCGUGCCUAUCCCAUAGAGUUCCUGUGAGGAUUAAAUGAGAUAAUAUAUAUAAACUCUUAAAAUAGUGCUUGACUCAUUGUAAGCCCUCAAUAAAUAUCAUCUAUUGUUUCAGUACUAUUAGUAUUACUAGGUUGCAGGGCUCUGAGCUGGAUAUUUCAGUGUUCUGGAGAUGUAUAGCUGACACCUAAACAGGAAAGGAUAAAAGUAAAAAUAAGAAUAUGGUCAUAUCUGGGAGGGGUUUAUUUUAUCUGGGAUUUAGGAAGUCUUCCUGAGGAAGGUGACAAUUGAGCUGGGUUUUAAAAAGUUUUAAAGGAGUUUUCUGGCUGUAUCGAUUAAGUUUACACUUGGCCCUAAAUGAAAACAAACACAAAAAUAACAGUGACUUAAACAUGAUAGAAGCUUGUGUCUGACUCAAGUUGAAAUCUGGUGGUGGGAAGCCCAGGGCUCAUAAGUUUCUCCAUGGUGACAGGCACCCAGGUUCUUCCUAUUUUCUUGUUCCACAUGCUUGACCUCGAGCCUGCGCGUGCCUCCUGGUACAAGGUGGCUGCCAGAGCUCCAGCAGCCGUGUUUUUAAGGACACUCCUGGAAGUUGUACAGUGCACUUAGAAGCCAUUGUCAAGGCUCAAUCCCAUGGCCCAGCUAACUGCAAGGGAGGCUGAGAAACAUAUUCUUUAUUUUGGGUGGCCAUAUGCCCAGCUAGCUAACACUUGGGGGUUCCAUUUCUAAGGAGGACUUGAGGAAUAGACACUGGAGAUCACAACUGGCCAAGUUUGACACAUAGAGGACAGAUGAUAGGAAAGGACUCCCACUAGAAGGAACAGCAUAUGCAGAGGUCUGUGUACAUGAAACACAUGGCUGGUUCUGCCGCCACAAGAUCUUCCAGGAUCUUCCUCCUUCUCUCCUGAGGCUUUCACUGCUUCAACCUGGCUGCUUCCAUGGACUUGCCUUUAUACCAGCUUCUCGCCAGGCAGACACGUCUCACUCCCAGCUCUCCUGUUGCUCUGGAGGCUCCCUCCUACCCAGUGCCUCCACGGGAGAAACUGCGAUGCCCAGAGGAGCUUGUGGUCACUGAAGAGACAGAGUUGUGAGUGGUGGGGCCUCAGGGAGAAGGACCUGGGCCCAGACAGCUGGGCCGGGUGGCUGAAAGGGGCCCCAGGCCAGGGAAUGCUGUAAACCAAGGCCAGGAGGUGGCUCUUAAGGCACUUAGGGGGCCGUUGAGGAGAGCUGUCCGUGCUGGUCCUAGGGGCUGAGGCCUAAUGGGCUGGAUGCUUGAGGGAGGAGAGCCUGUGGACCCCCUGGUCAUGUCUCACAGAAGUGCUGGUCGCGGUGGACUGGGGCCAUGGGGUCCGUGCUGUGGAAGAAGACUGGACGCCAGAGAGGAUGGGAUCUGGGAGUGGGGAAAGGGAAGCACGGGCCCCACCCUGAGCCCCCUCUGGGCCUGGAGGCAAAGAGUGGGAGAUGUACCCAGCACAAGCCUUGGUGUGGAACUCCAGUUGUGCCCUGGACAUACUGGGUUGCUGGAAGCCUCUGUUUCCCCAUCUGUAAAGUGGCUGGCUGGCUGCUUCUCAAGGGCAUGCUGAGGGUUCCAGAUGAUGGAAGGACCGGUGUGAGAGCUCAGGUGCUGCACACAGUGCCUGUUACCAUGGAGAUUUCUGAACGAAGGCCCUCCCACAGGCACAGGCUUUCAACAAAGCAGGAUUUCCUGGUCUCCAGGACCCAUUUGGAACCUUAGCUUCUCAGGCAGCCACCUUGGACCUCCUCUGCACCCGUGCCCUCAACUCCCAGCCUUUCAUAGCCUCUGGCUCCAGAAAGCCUUGGGUCAAAGUCUGGAAUGUAAAUGUGAGCCGCAGCCCAGGCCUCACUACCUGGCCAUAUUCCAUGAGCCUGGAGACUCAGGCAGAGGGGACCUGGUGGCUAGAAAACCCCAGUGCUAGAGGGAAUACUCACCCAGCGAGGACUCACCACUCACACACCCACAGGGACUAGGACAGUGGCUCAGGGGGUGGCAUGCAGCCUCUUUCAUACUGGGGAGCGUGUGCCUAACCAGCUCAAAGGAAGUGUUUUUAUACACCCCCCUACUCAAAGCACUAGCCCUGAAAGGCAGGACUGAAGACUGGCGACUUUGUGAUCUGGAUUCCCAAUCACCAGUGUCUGCUCUGUAAUGUAUUAGGGGAUAGGGAGGCUUUUAUUUUUUUUACAAACCAAUAAAAUCAGCCCAGCGUGGAAGAGAGCAGUGCCCAUCUGCUUUGCUUCUGUGAUGGAGGUGGGGUGAGAGUCCUGGGUCUGAACAGGGGGGCGGAACCCAGAACAGGCAAGGGAUGACUGUUGUUCUCUUUGUCCGAUGUUGUCCCCUUGCGGGAAGCUGUUCCCCAUCAUCAUUGGCCACAGGUUUCCUACAGGAUUGGCCAUAUUGAUGCUCCCCAGGUGGGGAAUCACCUGACCCAGGCUGAGCCAAUCUCUAAUUUGUGCAGAGAAUUUGGAAUCAGAACCAAAAGACUUUAGCUGAGGCUGGCUGUCUUCGCAUCUAGAGGCCAGGAGCUGUUGACUGCUGGGCUUUCUGCUACUGGUUGGAGUGGUGGACAGAGCCAGGGGCUGCAAGGAAGAUGAAGAGACAGAGGAAAGCAGCAAGAUGUGGAAACUGAUGCCCAGAGAGGAGCAGUGACCUGCCCGAAGCCACACAGCCCCACUCUGGUGGAGACAGGACUGAGACCAGAGUUCUCUGACUCCCUGCACUCCGUCCACUACACUGCAAGAAACUGGCUCAAAACACAACCCAGUGCCGUUUGGCUGUCCUGGUUUCUGGCAGCCUUUUGUUUUCUUCCCCAAACAACUCCUUUGUCUUAGUUUCACCUAGGUAGGAACACUUGAUCUUUCUAAUAAUUGUGGGAGAAGGUAUGAUGAUUGGUCUUUAUAGGUGAAGUGCCACACAUGCCUCCAGGGACAUUGUGUUUAGAAACUUCCUGAAAGUUCCCCAAAGCUUGAGUUACUCCCUAGAGCUGCCCACGGAUGCUUACGUUCUUCUAGCUCCCCCUACAGCCUUUCAACAACAUCGACUCAUCCUGCAAAACUUGCUGCAAAGUUUUCUUUCCCCUUUAAGUCAACACCUCCCACGGUUACCACAUCUGGACCUUCUCCUCACAGGUUUGGACCCACGUUGUCCCUCCUUGCUCCCCAUGUUCAACAAUAGUCAAAGCACUUUUGCCUUUUGUAACUCCAUCUUCAAGAAACUAGGAUUUGGUACAGGCUUAAACUAGGGAGGCUGUCAAGCGUGAGAAUCACAAAAGCGUGUCUGGGUUUCCAUCAACCUGAGAGCUCUUUGUGGGAGAGAUCUGUGUUCUCCAAUCAGAUUACACUAACAGUCUUUCAGGGAAGGGACGUUGUCUCCCCCAGAGUCCCCAAGCCCUGGGUCAAGGCCCCUGUGGAGCAAUGAUGAUGGCAGUGAGUGGGGAGAGGUGGCUCUGGGCUCUGCUCACCACCAAGCCUGUGGGGAGCACUCCAUGUCUAGUAGAAGGAUGGAGCCUCUGUUUCCUGAGGUUCAGGCAGGACACAGGGAGGACAGGAAAGCCCCGGUGGGGAGGCAGCUUUGGGUUCGUUCUGUGUACCCGCCUAUCUGAGAACCCAGAGGAACUUGGACUUAGGCCUCAGCGAGACUGAGUCCUCCCAAGAGUGAGCGUGUUUGGGUUGAAACUACUGUUCCUGGAGGCAGUAGCUGGGGACUCGGCAUUCACUGUGGGGACGGGCAGGGUCCAGAGAGAGAGGGAGAGUAGAGGUCAGCUGAUGUCCAAGUCCCUGUGGUCUUGGGGCCUCCACCUGGGAUGUCCCGCUGCCCCUGGUCACCCCGCUCAGGGCUCCCAUAGGCCCCCCAGCCCCUCACACAGGCACGUUCCUGCUCUCACCUACUCUUCUUUCUGGACUCUCUUUGCCCACUCAUCCAUCUGACUUUCAAUCAACAUUCAACUGAUCAUCUACCAGGUGCCAGGUUUUUGUUUGUUGGGGGUAGAAUUCACUGAGGUACAAUUUACAUAUUGUAAGCUCAUCCCUUUUAUUGUGUGAGGUUUGACAAAUGUUCAACAGUGGUGUAAACACCACCAUAAUCAAGCUAUUGAAUAUUUCCAUCAGUAUUUCCUUCCUGCUCCUUUGUCGCCAGCACUUCCUCCUCCUCCCAGCCCCUGAUCUAUUUUUUGUCCCUAUAGUUUUGCCUUUUCCAGAAUGCCAUGUAAAUGGAAUCACGCAGCAGGCAACCUUUUGAAUCUGGCAUCUUUUACUCAGCAUAACAGCAUAUGAGAGUCAUUUGAGUUCUUCCGUGUAUUUGUACUUGGUUCCUUUUUUAUUGCCCAGUGAGUUUUAUUUCCGUAUGAAUUGUAUAGAUUCUGAGUUGUAUAGGUGUAGGUAAUUUAUUGGGGCUUCCUCAGUGGCCUGGCAGUAAAGAAUCAGCCUGAGAUGCAAGAGAUGCAGAAGGUUCAGGUUUGAUCCCUGGAUUGGGAAGAUCCUUUGGAGAAGGAAAUGACAACGCACUCCAGUAUUCCUGCCUGGAAAAUCCCAUGGACAGAGGAGCCUGGCAGGCUACAGUCCACAGAGUCAAUAAAGAAUCGGACAUGACUGAAGCAACAGAGCACACAGGCGAUUUAUGCGUCUCCUCAUCGGUUAAUGAACAUUUGGAUCGUGUCUCGUGCUUGGCAAUUAUGAAUAAUGCCGCUGCAAACGUUCAUGUGUAGGUUUUUGUGCAAAAAGGAAUUUUCAUUUUUCUGGGGACGAUACCUCGAAGUGGGAGUACUGAGUCAUAAGUGUAUGUUUAGCGUUAUAGGAAUCUGCCAAAGUGUUAUCUGGAAUGGCUGUACUAUUUUCAAAAUAAUAAUAACCUUCUAAAGUCUAAACUCUAACUUGAACAUCUUGACAAAUGCCAGCAGGAAUUCUGCUCCUAACUGAAAGCAUCUCUCUUUUGGGCAAAUGUAAGUCACAGAGAGUUGGACACGACUGAGCGACUGAACUGAGCUGAGCUGACUGAACUGAAGUUUCCAUUUCUCUAGGUCUGCCAUCCUAGCCUCCAGGCAGUCUUGCGGUGGUGGUAAUGGCAAUGGUGAUGACAUCAUCAGUCAAGAGGGCACCCAAAAUUCUGAGAGAAGGAAAACCCUCUCUCUACCAGAAGACCUGUGAACACAAGUGAAAGGAGUGAAAGUGAAAGCCGCUCAGUUGUGUCCGACUCUUUGUGACCCCAUGGACUAUACAGUCCAUGGAAUUCUCCAGGCCAGAAUACUGGAGUGGGUAGC